rnacentral:rRNA from 1 species
CCCUUAGAUGUUCUGGGCAGCACGCGCGCUACAAUGGUCUUCGCAAACGGAUGCAUUCUCGAAGGAGAAUGCCAAUCUUGGAAUCUAUGCCUUGGUCGGGACAGUUGCUUGCAAUUUUUCGACUCGAACCAGGACUUCCUUGUAAUCGUGAUUCAUCACAUCACGAUGAAUACGUCCCUGCCCUUUGUACACACCGCCCGUCGCUCCUACCGAUCGAAGAGUUAGGUGAAUUGUUUUGAUCGAUAAGAUUUGACUAUGGUCAACUCUCGUUGUGAAAUUCUGUGAAUCUGACUGUUUAGAGGAAGGAAAAGUCGUAACA